GGACGAACGCUGGCGGCGUGCUUAACCCAUGCAAGUCGAACGGAAAGGCCCUGCUUUUGUGGGGUGCUCGAGUGGCGAACGGGUGAGUAACACGUGAGUAACCUGCCCUUGACUUUGGGAUAACUUCAGGAAACUGGGGCUAAUACCGGAUAGGAACUCCUGCUGCCUGGUGGGGGUUGGAAAGUUUCGGCGGUUGGGGAUGGACUCGCGGCUUAUCAGCUUGUUGGUGGGGUAGUGGCUUACCAAGGCUUUGACGGGUAGCCGGCCUGAGAGGGUGACCGGCCACAUUGGGACUGAGAUACGGCCCAGACUCCUACGGGAGGCAGCAGUGGGGAAUAUUGCACAAUGGGCGGAAGCCUGAUGCAGCAACGCCGCGUGCGGGAUGACGGCCUUCGGGUUGUAAACCGCUUUCGCCUGUGACGAAGCGUGAGUGACGGUAAUGGGUAAAGAAGCACCGGCUAACUACGUG
rnacentral:rRNA from 1 species